AGAGUUUGAUCCUGGCUCAGAUUGAACGCUGGCGGCAUGCCUUACACAUGCAAGUCGAACGGCAGCAUGGAGAGCUUGCUCUCUGAUGGCGAGUGGCGAACGGGUGAGUAAUACAUCGGAACGUGUCCGUUUGUGGGGGACAACCGUCCGAAAGGAUGGCUAAUACCGCAUAAGACCUGAGGGUGAAAGCCGGGGACCGCAAGGCCCGGCGCAGACGGAGCGGCCGAUGAUUGAUUAGCUAGUUGGGGAGGUAAAGGCUCACCAAGGCGACGAUCAAUAGCUGGUCUGAGAGGACGACCAGCCACACUGGAACUGAGACACGGUCCAGACUCCUACGGGAGGCAGCAGUGGGGAAUUUUGGACAAUGGGGGCAACCCUGAUCCAGCCAUGCCGCGUGCGGGAAGAAGGCCUUCGGGUUGUAAACCGCUUUUGUCAGGGACGAAAAGCUCCGGAGUAAUAUGCCGGAGUGCUGACGGUACCUGAAGAAUAAGCACCGGCUAACUACGUGCCAGCAGCCGCGGUAAUACGUAGGGUGCGAGCGUUAAUCGGAAUUACUGGGCGUAAAGCGUGCGCAGGCGGUUGGGUAAGACAGAUGUGAAAUCCCCGGGCUUAACCUGGGAACUGCAUUUGUGACUGUCCGACUGGAGUACGUCAGAGGGGGGUGGAAUUCCACGUGUAGCAGUGAAAUGCGUAGAUAUGUGGAAGAACACCGAUGGCGAAGGCAGCCCCCUGGGACGCAACUGACGCUCAUGCACGAAAGCGUGGGGAGCAAACAGGAUUAGAUACCCUGGUAGUCCACGCCCUAAACGAUG
rnacentral:rRNA from 1 species